AGUGAACGCUGGCGGUAGGCCUAACACAUGCAAGUCGAACGGCAGCACAGUAAGAGCUUGCUCUUACGGGUGGCGAGUGGCGGACGGGUGAGGAAUACAUCGGAAUCUACUUUUUCGUGGGGGAUAACGUAGGGAAACUUACGCUAAUACCGCAUACGACCUACGGGUGAAAGCAGGAGAUCUUCGGACCUUGCGCGAUUGAAUGAGCCGAUGUCGGAUUAGCUAGUUGGCGGGGUAAAGGCCCACCAAGGCGACGAUCCGUAGCUGGUCUGAGAGGAUGAUCAGCCACACUGGAACUGAGACACGGUCCAGACUCCUACGGGAGGCAGCAGUAGGGAAUAUUGGGCAAUGGGCGCAAGCCUGAUCCAGCCAUACCGCGUGAGUGAAGAAGGUCUUCGGGUUGUAAAGCUCUUUUGUUGGGAAAGAAAAACAGCGGGUUAAUACCCCGCUGUUCUGACGGUACCCAAAGAAUAAGCACCGGCUAACUUCGUG
rnacentral:rRNA from 1 species